rnacentral:pre_miRNA from 1 species
AGCCUUUUGUAUCCGUGCUUGAUCUCGUCACACCAGACCACAAUGGCUGAUGAGACUCCCAAGAUAAGUGAAGCG